GGGCGUUUAGCUCAGCUGGGAGAGCGCCACCCUUACAAGGUGGAUGUCACAUGUUCGAUCCAUGUAACGCCCA
rnacentral:tRNA from 1 species